rnacentral:tRNA from 2 species
GGCGUGGUAGCUCAGUUGGUUAGAGCGUCGGAUUCAUAACUCGGAGGUCACGAGUUCAAUUCUCGUCCACGCUA